rnacentral:rRNA from 1 species
UUAGAGGAAGUAAAAGUCGUAACAAGGUUUCCGUAGGUGAACCUGCGGAAGGAUCAUUAUUCAUAUAUGGAACAUAUAAGUGUUUCCUGACCCAAAACCUCUCUGUGUACUGAUCCAUGUUGCUUUCCCAGGUGGUUGGUUUUACUAGUUGUUUAACCCUUCCUGCUAGUUGAAUUUACUUUACUAUGUAGGCUCCUGGGAGAGGGCCUGUUCAAAGCAAACUAUUGAAUCAGCAGUCUGAGUUGGCCCAGUGCCAUAUUUUUUUGAAUGAAUUAAAACUUUCAACAACGGAUCUCUUGGCUCUCGUAUCGAUGAAGAACGCAGCGAAAUGCGAUAAGUAAUGUGAAUUGCAGAAUUCAGUGAAUCAUCGAAUCUUUGAACGCACAUUGCGCCUCUUGGUAUUCCUUGAGGCAUGCCUGUUCGAGCGUCACUGCAAACCCACUCAUAACUAUUAUGGUAAUGGUGGAUGUGAAGAGAGGCUACUAAUAUGCCUCAGUCACCCCAUUGAAAUAUAUAGGCAGGACAAUUAUCUUUAGCAAAGGACUUAGUAACUGUUUUGAAGACAUAUAUUAGUUUCUUGCUAGGACUUGGACUGACUUUUAUGGAUCUCCAUUAAAAACAAAUUCUGGGUUGACCUCGGAUCAGGUAGGGAUACCCGCUGAACUUAAGCAUAUCAAUA